GGAGAGGUGGCAGAGUGGUCGAUUGCGCGUGACUCGAAAUCACGUUUACGGAAGCGUAACGAGGGUUCGAAUCCCUCCCUCUCCGCCA
rnacentral:tRNA from 1 species